rnacentral:tRNA from 1 species
GGCUGGAUGGUGUAGUUGGUUAUCACGUAUCGCUCACAAAGCUAGCCGACAAGCGAAAGCUUAGUCAGUUACUACAUGUGCCGAUAAGGUCCUGGGAUCGAACCCCAGUCUAGUCA